rnacentral:rRNA from 1 species
GUGUCAGCAGCCGCGGUAAUACGUAGGGUGCGAGCGUUAAUCGGAAUUACUGGGCGUAAAGCGUGCGCAGGCGGUUCGCCAAGUCAGGUGUGAAAUCCCCGGGCUUAACCUGGGAAUUGCGCUUGAAACUAGCGGGCUUGAGUGUGGCAGAGGGGGGUGGAAUUCCACGUGUAGCAGUGAAAUGCGUAGAGAUGUGGAGGAACACCGAUGGCGAAGGCAGCCCCCUGGGUCAACACUGACGCUCAUGCACGAAAGCGUGGGGAGCAAACAGGAUUAGAUACCCUGGUAGUCC